GAUGAAGAACGUAGCGAAAUGCGAUAAGUAAUGCGAAUUGCAGAAUUUCCGUGAAUCAUCGAAUCUUUGAACGCACAUUGCGCCCGCCAGCAUUCUGGCGGGCAUGCCUGUUCGAGCGUCAUUUCAACCCUCGAGCCCCCCCGGGGGCCUCGGUGUUGGGGGACGGCACACCAGCCGCCCCCGAAAUGCAGUGGCGACCCCGCCGCAGCCUCCCCUGCGUAGUAGCACACACCUCGCACCGGAGCGCGGAGGCGGUCACGCCGUAAAACGCCCAACUUUCUUAGAGUUGACCUCGGAUCAGGUAGGAAUACCCGCUGAACUUAAGCAUAUCAAUAAGCGGAGGA
rnacentral:misc_RNA from 1 species